rnacentral:rRNA from 1 species
UACGAAGGGUGCAAACGUUGCUCGGAAUUAUUGGGCGUAAAGCGCACGUAGGCGGCUUGGCAAGUCGGAUGUGAAAUCCCUCGGCUCAACCAAGGAAGUGCAUCCGAAACUGCUGAGCUUGAGUACUUAAGAGGAUCGCGGAAUUCCCGGUGUAGAGGUGAAAAUUCGUAGAUAUCGGGAGGAACACCAGUGGCGAAGGCGGCGUCUGGGAAGAUACUGACGCUGAGGUGCGAAAAGCGUGGGGAGCAAACAGG